AGGGUUUGAUCAUGGCUCAGGACGAACGCUGGCGGUGCGCCUUAUGCAUGCAAGUCGAGCGAAGCUUUUCAGUAGUUUACUACAGAAAAUGACUGAGCGGCGAACGGGUGAGUAACGCGUGAGCAAUCUACCUUAGUUACAGGGAUAGCCCGAGGAAACUCGGAUUAAUACCUGAUAUUCUUUAUAUUUCGCAUGAAAUUAAAAGGAAAGGUCAGCCGAACUAAGAUGAGCUCGCGUUCUAUCAGCUAGUUGGUGGGGUAAAAGCUCACCAAGGCUACGACGGAUAGCUGGUCUGAGAGGACGAUCAGCCACACUGGGACUGAGACACGGCCCAGACUCCUACGGGAGGCUGCAGCAGGGAAUAUUGCGCAAUGAGCGAAAGCUUGACGCAGCGACACCGCGUGUGGGAUGACGGAUCUAGGUUUGUAAACCACUUUCAGGAGGGAAGAAAAUGACGGUACCUCCACAAGAAGCCCCGGCCAACUACGUGCCAGCAGCCGCGGUAAUA
rnacentral:rRNA from 1 species